rnacentral:rRNA from 1 species
GCAUGUUUAAGCAGAAGCCGCACAACGGUAAAGCCGCGAAUGGCUCAUUACAACAGCCGUCGUUUCUUGGAUCUCUAAUUUUACUUGGAUAACUGUGGUAAUUCUAGAGCUAAUACACGCACUAAAGCUCUGACCUUACGGAACGAGCGCAUUUAUUAGAACAAAACCAAUCGGGUUUCGGCCCGUUCGUUGGUGACUCUGAAUAACUCUGCCGAUCGCACGGUCUCGCACCGGCGACGUAUCUUUCAAGUGUCUGCCUUAUCAACUUUCGAUGGUAGUUUAUGUGCCUACCAUGGUUGUAACGGGUAACGGAGAAUAAGGGUUCGACUCCGGAGAGGGAGCCUGAGAAACGGCUACCACAUCCAAGGAAGGCAGCAGGCGCGCAAAUUACCCACUCUCGGCACGAGGAGGUAGUGACGAAAGAUAACGAGACGGAUCUCUUUGAGGCCCGUUAUCGGAAUGAGAACAAUUCAAAUCCUUUAACGAGGAUCUAGCGGAGGGCAAGUCUGGUGCCAGCAGCCGCGGUAAUUCCAGCUCCGCAGGUGUAUAUCUAUGCUGCUGCGGUUAAAGAGCUCGUAGUUGGAUCUGCGUGCUCGGAACUGGUUGGCUCACUGAGUUCAAACUGGUCUCCGGCGCUUUAUUGGCUGGUUUUCCCUUGAUGCUCUUAACCGGGUGUCUUGGGUGGCUAGCACGUUUACUUUGAAAAAAUUAGAGUGCUCAAUACAGGCGUAAAGCCUUGAAUAGUGGUGCAUGGAAUAAUAGAAUAGGACCUCGGCUCUAUUUUGUUGGUUUUCGGAACGCGAGGUAAUGAUUAAGAGGGACAGACGGGGGCAUUCGUAUUGCGACGUUAGAGGUGAAAUUCUUGGAUCGUCGCAAGACGGACGACUGCGAAAGCAUUUGCCAAGAAUGUUUUCAUUAAUCAAGAACGAAAGUUAGAGGUUCGAAGGCGAUCAGAUACCGCCCUAGUUCUAACCGUAAACGAUGCCAACUAGCGAUUCGCAGGCGUUAAACAACGACCUUGCGGGCAGCUUCCCGGAAGCGAAAGUGUUCGGGUUCCGGGGGAGGUAUGGUUGCAAAGCUGAAACUUAAAGGAAUUGACGGAAGGGCACCACCAGGAGUGGAGCCUGCGGCUUAAUUUGACCCAACACGGGAAAACUCACCCGGCCCGGACACCGUAAGGAUUGACAGAUUGAGAGCUCUUUCUUGAUUCGGUGGGUGGUGGUGCAUGGCCGUUCUUAGUUGGUGGAGCGAUUUGUCUGGUUUAUUCCGAUAACG